CCUACGGGGGGCUGCAGUGGGGAAUAUUGGACAAUGGGGGGAACCCUGAUCCAGCCAUGCCGCGUGUGUGAAGAAGGCCCUCGGGUUGUAAAGCACUUUCAGUGAGGAAGAACGCCUGGUGGUUAAUACCCAUCAGGAAAGACAUCACUCACAGAAGAAGCACCGGCUAACUCCGUGCCAGCAGCCGCGGUAAUACGGAGGGUGCGAGCGUUAAUCGGAAUUACUGGGCGUAAAGCGCGCGUAGGUGGCUUGAUAAGCCGGUUGUGAAAGCCCCGGGCUCAACCUGGGAACGGCAUCCGGAACUGUCAAGCUAGAGUGCAGGAGAGGAAGGUAGAAUUCCCGGUGUAGCGGUGAAAUGCGUAGAGAUCGGGAGGAAUACCAGUGGCGAAGGCGGCCUUCUGGACUGACACUGACACUGAGGUGCGAAAGCGUGGGUAGCAAACAGGAUUAGAUACCCUGGUAUC
rnacentral:rRNA from 1 species